rnacentral:rRNA from 1 species
AUUGAACGCUGGCGGCAUGCCUUACACAUGCAAGUCGAACGGUAACAGGUCUUCGGAUGCUGACGAGUGGCGAACGGGUGAGUAAUACAUCGGAACGUGCCUAGUAGUGGGGGAUAACUACUCGAAAGAGUGGCUAAUACCGCAUGAGAUCUACGGAUGAAAGCAGGGGAUCGCAAGACCUUGUGCUACUAGAGCGGCCGAUGGCAGAUUAGGUAGUUGGUGGGAUAAAAGCUUACCAAGCCGACGAUCUGUAGCUGGUCUGAGAGGACGAGCAGCAACUCUGGGCCUGGGACACGGCCCAGACUCCUACGGGAGGCAGCAGUUGGGAAUUUUGGACAAUGGGCGCAAGCCUGAUCCAGCAAUGCCGCGUGCAGGAUGAAGGCCUUCGGGUUGUAAACUGCUUUUGUACGGAACGAAAAGCCCUGGGUUAAUACCCUGGGGUCAUGACGGUACCGUAAGAAUAAGCACCGGCUAACUACGUGCCAGCAGCCGCCGUAA